GCCGAGCGGAGCAUAGGCGUCGGGUCGGUUCCGCCGCGCGCUCGUCGUCUCGUCACCCCCACCCCCGCCGGGCACGGGCGACGGGCAGGUCCCGGCGUUGCAGGAGGGGAGAGCUCCCUGCUCGGGGAAGUUUAGUGACCCACUCGGUGGUGGUGGCGGCUUUGAUUUGGGGAAAAAAAGAAGGCGAGGAUGGAGUCCUAAAUUUGAGCAGCUGGAUUUUUCCUCGCUUUGAAAUCCCGGCGCCCCGGAUGAUGGCAGAACUUCAAGAGGUGACACUGUUCUUUCGACUAAACCCAGUUACUGAUUUUUGACUUAAUGUAAUGAUGAACUGUUCCCAGGAGAUGAAAAGGAAGAAGUAGGAACUAAAAGAGUGAUGUAACUGUGCUGAGAUACCUACCUCCCUGCUGAGUGGAACAAUGCUGCUUUCUUUUUGGGAGAAAUGAUAAAUGGAUAAUAAACAGAUUGCCGAAGCUGAGCUUCUCAGGACAGGAUGACUUCUAGUUCUGUCAUCCAUUCUCUUUUGAG